rnacentral:rRNA from 1 species
GAUGGACUCGCGGUCUAUCAGCUUGUUGGUGGGGUGAUGGCCUACCAAGGCGACGACGGAUAGCCGGCCUGAGAGGGUGACCGGCCACACUGGGACUGAGACACGGCCCAGACUCCUACGGGAGGCAGCAGUGGGGAAUAUUGCGCAAUGGGCGAAAGCCUGAUCCAGCAACGCCGCGUGAGGGAUGACGGCCUUCGGGUUGUAAACCUCUUUCAGCACCGACGAAGCGUUUUGUGACGGUAGGUGCAGAAGAAGCGCCGGCCAACUACGUGCCAGCAGCCGCGGUAAGACGUAGGGCGCGAGCGUUGUCCGGAUUUAUUGGGCGUAAAGAGCUCGUAGGCGGCUUGUCGCGUCGGCUGUGAAAACCCGCGGCUCAACUGUGGGCUUGCAGCCGAUACGGGCAGGCUAGAGUUCGGUAGGGGAGACUGGAAUUCCUGGUGUAGCGGUGAAAUGCGCAGAUAUCAGGAGGAACACCGGUGGCGAAGGCGGGUCUCUGGGCCGAUACUGACGCUGAGGAGCGAAAGCGUGGGGAGCGAACAGGGUUAGAUACCCUGGUAGUCCACGCUGUAAACGUUGGGCGCUAGGUGU